AUUGAACGCUGGCGGCAGGCCUAACACAUGCAAGUCGAGCGGAUGAAGGGAGCUUGCUCCUGGAUUCAGCGGCGGACGGGUGAGUAAUGCCUAGGAAUCUGCCUGGUAGUGGGGGAUAACGUCCGGAAACGGGCGCUAAUACCGCAUACGUCCUGAGGGAGAAAGUGGGGGAUCUUCGGACCUCACGCUAUCAGAUGAGCCUAGGUCGGAUUAGCUAGUUGGUGGGGUAAAGGCCUACCAAGGCGACGAUCCGUAACUGGUCUGAGAGGAUGAUCAGUCACACUGGAACUGAGACACGGUCCAGACUCCUACGGGAGGCAGCAGUGGGGAAUAUUGGACAAUGGGCGAAAGCCUGAUCCAGCCAUGCCGCGUGUGUGAAGAAGGUCUUCGGAUUUUAAAGCACUUUAAGUUGGGAGGAAGGGCAGUAAGUUAAUACCUUGCUGUUUUGACGGUACCAACAGAAUAAGCACCGGCUAACUUCGUG
rnacentral:rRNA from 1 species